CCAGCCACCAACAAUAGUGCCCGGUGGUGACCUGGCCAAGGUGUCCAGAGCUGUGUGUAUGUUAUCUAAUACCACAGCUAUAGCUGAAGCUUGGGCACGUCUUAGACCACAAUUUGAUCUUAUGUACGCGAAGAGAGCUUUUGUACACUGGUACGUGGGUGAGGGUAUGGAGGAGGGGGAGUUUCUCUGAGGCCCGCGAGGACCUGGCUGCCCUAGAGAAGGACUACGAGGAAGUUGGUGUUGAUUCUGCUGAUGGUGACGGAGAGUUAGAGGGAGAAGAGUACUGAAGAAGUUAUAUUCGACCUUCCAACACCUGCUGCCACUGUUCAUCUAGCUGGAAUAUAUACAAACCCAGGAGUUGCUGGAUUGUUGUGGGUCGCAUCCUAGGGAGGACCUAAGAGUACCUUUGGGAAUAAGUCACACUGAUUUGGCUUUGUUGUACUAUUCUGGGGUAAUAACCCUCUGGGUUAAUAAUCCAAAAUCUUCUCCUUCUCCUCUUAAUGUUUUAAUUAACUGGAGAAAUAUUUUUACAUUACGGAAUAUACAGUGACCAAAAGUUUUAAAUUAUAAUUACAUUUAGUUUUAAUAUAUGAUCAUUUCACUUUUUGUCAAUAUCGCAUCAUUGUGUGAAGCCUUCCAGGUUAACUCGCAGUUUGUGUCUUAUUUGGUGGAACUGAAAAUAUAUGAUGGUACACCAUCCUAAAA